GAUUGGUGCUUGAAGGACCUGGCCGACUCUGCACUCUCCAGGAGGUUCUGGUGACCCAAGACUAGGGCAAGUGAGGACGGUACUCGCAGUUGCCCGAUUCGAGCCGUGGCUCAGCACACGUCGGCAGUGCAGGCCAGCGGCCCUGCCUCCUAUCCUGAGUUUCCUCCGUUGGCUCAUAAGCCGCAGUUGAGGCCGUUAGGGUUGUGCCGAAGCCACGCACGCACUCUCCAUCUCACGGCCACAGUCUUCUGGGCGUACAACGCCCUUUUCUGACCGGGAAACUGAGGCCUAGGCGGGCUGCGCGAGGCCGUGGGCGGGAACGGGCUAUGCCCAGGUCUCCCGCUCGUCGUGCCCCGCCUCCACUGCAGAUUCCGAUGGCGGUAACCUGGCCGCUGACAGAUCCAGCGCGGGACCCUCUGUCUCCCGGCCUCGUGUGAUCAUCCAACUCCAGCGUGGUGAGGAACCCUGGGUUCCCAAUAGGACAAUUGCAGGCCCAGGCAGGGGCACCCACAGGAGAUCCAGCCUUGGAUCCAAUUACAGUGCAAGGGACAGACAUGUGUCUGGAGCAUCUCCAGGGGCCACCUGUGACAGGCCUGUUAGGAUAUCUACUAGUCUUCUUCCUCCUGCUGGUGCCUACCCUGAUGCAAAAAUUCUGGAGGGACACCAAAGUGCCUGCCCAUCUCUACAGAAAAAACCCACAGGGGUAUCAGUGAUUUACUGGGAGCAGCUACUGCUAGG
rnacentral:lncRNA from 1 species